AGGCCAACCUUUUCUUUAUUGGCUUUACCAAGGCAUAGUGCAAAGAAAGAAAUGAGUAAUUUAUGGUCAAAGAUAUGCAACCAAGUUAUCAGUUUACAAUAAACAAAGUGCGGACACAUUUCCACAACUGUUAACUGCAGCUACUAGUACAAAAUGCUGUUCAUUUCUAUCAAAUUCAUAGCAUUCCGUAAUAUCUUGGAAAAAUAAUUAUUAUAAUAGCUGUUUAAAUAUAGAUGAAGAAGCAGUUUGGAGGAACUUGCUUGAAAAUUUUUUCUUAAACACCAAAAUAUGUGAAAAUUAACAUCUAAAGAAACAGUAAACAAGAUGCGAAAUUGGUGAAAAUGCAGUAAGAAGUUCCAUACAAAUUUGAGUUUCUAAAUUGAGUUGUUUUUGACGCAUUAAUUACCUGCUCAAUUAGUAUUUCACAUUG
rnacentral:misc_RNA from 1 species